rnacentral:rRNA from 1 species
UAACGAAUAUUGGGCAAUGGGCGAAAGCCUGACCCAGCAAUGCCGCGUGCAGGACGAAGUCCUUCGGGAUGUAAACUGCUGUCAGGGGUCCGCAAGCGAAGGGGUCCAACAGGCCCUGGAGUUGAGCAGCCCCAGAGGAAGCCUCGACUAACUCUGUGCCAGCAGUCGCGGUAAGCCGGAGGAGGCAAGCGUUGUUCGGAAUCAGUGGGCUUAAAGCGCGUGUAGGCGGCUUAGAAAGUGUGGUGUGAAAGCCCGGGGCUUAACCGCGGAAGGGCACGGGAAACUAAUUGGCUUGAGGUCGGUAGAGGUGGCGGGAACUCUAGGUGGAGCGGUGAAAUGCGUAGAUAUUUAGAGGAACGCCAGAGGCGAAAGCGGGGCACUGGGCCGAUUCUGACGCUGAGACGCGAAAGCGUGGGGAGCAAACA